CAGGAAGGAAGUGGAUGGGGUCAGACGUCAGGCGCCAACAUUCACACCAAAAACAAAACAUUCCGCAUUCUGGAAUCUCUGGCAGUGACUUAUUUGGAGCGCUCAGGCCUACGGCGCUCAGACGGGCGUUUGUACCUCGCCGCAGUAUUCCGAGAUGAACUCGUUCUUCUGGACCGGCUCCUUGAUGAAGAUGCCCCAUCCCGCCACGUCGGACGGCGCCAGGAGGAGGUGCUGAGACCACAAGCCACACACAUUAUUCAAAUGCUAAAUAUUACUCGAAAGUCAUAUUUUUCAUGACUUUCCCGUUUGGUGUCCCAAAUGAAGUUUCACGAUUUGGACAUCUUGUUAAGAGACUAAUGAAUGAAAAUGUAUGCAUUUGUGAACUAUUGCAUGUCUUUACCAUUAUUUCAACUGUAUCAAAACAAGAGCGAGGGACAUUUGGGCGGUGUCGUUCGGUCACCUUCUUGGCGCCCCUCUGUAUGGAGCAGUUCUUGCAGGAGACGUUCUUGCUGUCCCAGUGGUCGGCGGCGCCGCAGGUGAGGCAAAGGUCGGGGUCGCACUCCCUGACGGCCAGGUAGCACGGACACUGCUUGGUGUUGCAUUGAGCUUUGCAGCGGCAGCCCGGGAAACGGUUCUGGCCUGCAAACGCAUCCGGAACGCCAUUGGACGCGGUCUCGGCCACGUGACACAGUGCGACAAUUUUUUUUUAUUCCUGAUUUUGCGUGUUUUAGGAGCCGGAAGCCCAAAUUAUGUCAAAAUAAACAAAUAAGUACUUGAAA